ACGGAGGGUGCAAGCGUUAAUCGGAAUUACUGGGCGUAAAGCGUGCGCAGGCGGUUUGUUAAGUCUGUUGUGAAAUCCCCGAGCUCAACUUGGGAAUUGCAAUGGAUACUGGCAGGCUGGAGUACGGUAGAGGAAGGUGGAAUUCCCGGUGUAGCAGUGAAAUGCGUAGAUAUCUGGAGGAACACCGGUGGCGAAGGCGGCAUCCUGGACCGGUAUUGACGCUGAGGCGCGAAAGCCAGGGGAGCAAACGGGA
rnacentral:rRNA from 1 species